rnacentral:lncRNA from 13 species
GUCGGGAUCUCCGUGCGCUGGGCAGCAGCUCCCCAGGGAUGAGCUGCGAGCUCAUCCCUCACCUUCCAGGGCUCCCAGCUGGGUUGUGGCCCUGGCCCCCGGUCUGGGCUGGAGGGGAAAGUCCCUUCCUGCUGCCACAGUGGGUGAGAAGGCUGCUGGCUGCUGCAGGGGAGAAAGAGCUGAAGCUGCCAGAAAAAACCUGAGUAUGUUGCCAGGGCAACAGAGUGUAAGCAGGAGCACAGCACCUUGCAGAUCACAAAGGCAAAGCUGCAGAAAGACAUUUCAGCGAGUUUCUCUCUCCCUUUUGCAAUAUGAGCAUUUAGACCUGAGACAUCCGAAUUCAGGGAGUGAACCAUUCCUGGUGGCAGGAACAAGAGUGUGUGAUUCUGUGCAGAGUGAGUUUUUGUCAUCUCUGCAGCAUCUCAUUUCAUAGAAACUCUGCACAUUGAUUCAGUUAAAAUAUGUAGAUAGAAGAUCUCCCAAAAGCAAUCUUCCUUGGAGCCUGCAGAAAGGCAGCUGGCUGCAGCCAGACUGGGCCACAGAAAGAACCGUGGAACAAGGUGAACUGCAGACUGCCAGACACUGGACAAUAUUUCUGUAUUUUUGCCAUGGGAGACUGCAUUUUUGGCUCCUUAAAGCCAGUGCUGGUUGAAAGACU